rnacentral:rRNA from 1 species
AGACCCGAAACCCGGUGAUCUAGCCAUGGGCAGGUUGAAGGUUGGGUAACACUAACUGGAGGACCGAACCGACUAAUGUUGAAAAAUUAGCGGAUGACCUGUGGCUGGGGGUGAAAGGCCAAUCAAACCGGGAGAUAGCUGGUUCUCCCCGAAAGCUAUUUAGGUAGCGCCUCGUGAAUUCAUCUCCGGGGGUAGAGCACUGUUUCGGCCAGGGGGCCAUCCCGGCUUACCAAUCCGAUGCAAACUGCGAAUACCGGAGAAUGUUAUCACGGGAGACACACGGCGGGUGCUAACGUCCGUCGUGAAGAGGGAAACAACCCAGACCGCCAGCUAAGGUCCCAAAGUCAUGGUUAAGUGGGAAACGAUGUGGGAAGGCCCAGACAGCCAGGAUGUUGGCUUAGAAGCAGCCAUCAUUUAAAGAAAGCGUAAUAGCUCACUGGUCGAGUCGGCCUGCGCGGAAGAUGUAACGGGGCUAAACCAUGCACCGAAGCUGCGGCAGCGAACGUAUCACCCAAGACAACUUUGCACAGUUGACGAUUGACGGAGCGAAGCGACGUCAAAGCGUUUUACAACGUCGAGUUGGCUUAGGGAUACGUUCGUUGGGUAGGGGAGCGUUCUGUAAGCCGUUGAAGGUGGCCUGUGAGGGUUGCUGGAGGUAUCAGAAGUGCGAAUGCUGACAUAAGUAACGAUAAAGCGGGUGAAAAGCCCGCUCGCCGGAAGACCAAGGGUUCCUGUCCAACGUUAAUCGGGGCAGGGUGAGUCGACCCCUAAGGCGAGGCCGAAAGGCGUAGUCGAUGGGAAACGGGUUAAUAUUC